CUUCCUUUCCUCUCACACGUCGCCGCCGCCAGCCUCCCUCCGGCGCCGCCGUCGCACCACCGCCACCUCCGGCAGUGGUUCUCCUUCCUCCUCCCUUCUCUCUCCCUCUUCUCUCUCUCUCUCUCUCUCUCCAGCCUCACGUCGCCGUCCCCACUGCCGAUCUGCCGCCACCGGCGCCGCGGAUCCACCGCCGUCGCCGACUCCUCCUCUCCCUCUCCCCUUCUUUCUCUCCAGGGUCUGCUGCCGCCGCUGCCGCCACUGUGCAUGCACAGGCGGCAGCUUCGGCCUCCUCCGUACCUCGCACCGCCGGCCGCCGCCACAGCCGAGACCUUCCCCAGCCGCCGACGUCGAUUCCCGAUAGAUUUUUAAAGCAAUGAAAUCACUGACUUUGGGAGCGUUGGUUGUCGAUUGUCGGCGACGGAGUGCCGAGCUUGCUGUCGGAAUCCGGCAGACUCCUCUGUCCUUUUAAGCUAAGUUCCUAUUAUUCUUUGAUAAUCUUCAUUUUUUUAUGUUCUUGGAAUGCUAUAACAACUAUUAUUGAGGCUCUAAAUUGUCUAUAUAUCAAAUGCUAAAUUGGUGUUAUGUAGACUCUGGAUAUUAAGUUUGUAUUUUGGCAUAGACAUGUUUUGCCUAUAUGAAAUAUGUGGUAAUAGGUGGAAAGAAAGUGGGGUGUUGAUGGUACUCACCUAUGUGGGGUGAAGAAGAAAAUGACUUGUUGUUUUUGGGCUUUGCUUUGUGUUGUGGACGCCCUUUUCCUUGCUAUGGUGGAAGAAUUCUUGCUGCCUUUUGGAGAUAGUAAAUUUUGGUAGGGGAGGUGAAGUAGGUAAAAGUGACGGUAUUUCGGUGUGAGGGAAAGCAAGUGGCUUGACAUUCCUCUUCUAAAUAUUAUCUUUUGUCAUAGGAUAAAGAUUGUGAUAUCUGCUGUGAAAGUGGCGUGGGCAUCAAGUUUUUGCUAACAUUCCUAUCUCUAAUUAAAUGCAGCAUUUAAUGCUCACUGAAAAAAAUCGAUCCUCAAGGAUCUGCUCUCUCUCUCUUUUUUUUUUUUAAUUAUAUAUAUAUUUUUUUAUUUGUUUAUUAAAUUAAUUAUUUGAGUAUUUGUUCACUUGUUCAUUUGGUGCAGGUAUAAUCGGUUCAAGUUCGUGGCUUUGGUGUAGAAAAACAAAUAACAUCCAUAGUCUUCCCUGAUGAUGUACCGGACUUUCUUGGAGUGCGAGCACGGCCGUUGAACGGGUUGCGUGAACUUUUCUCCAAUUGUAAUAGAUAAGGAUUUGAUAAAUUUGUAUAAUAGUACUUUAGCGGACUUCGGAGAUAUGUCGUACAUUAUAACUUUUAUUUGGUGUUA